UACAGAGGUCUCAAGCGUUGUUCGGAUUCAUUGGGCUUAAAGGGUGCGUAGGCGGCGGAGUAAGUCGGGGUGUGAAAUCCCUCAGCUCAACUGAGGAAUUGCGCCCGAAACUACUUUGCUAGAGGAAGAUAGGGGUACGCGGAACUUAGGGUGGAGCGGUGAAAUGCGUUGAUAUCCUAAGGAACACCGGUGGCGUAAGCGGCGUACUGGGGUCUUUUUCUGACGCUGAGGCACGAAAGCUAGGGGAGCGAACGGG
rnacentral:rRNA from 1 species